CUCAUCUAGAUGUAUAUAUUUCACCAGUGAGUCAAAGGUCCUCGUGUCAGUUGUAGCAGAUGCACAUAAAGGAUGCAAACCUCCGACGUACGCUUCUCUCUAGAUAUUUUUUUUUUCUUUUCUUUUUUUUACUAUCUCUAUAAAAUCUGGUCGGGACCUCACCGCAUGACAAACAAGCUACAUGGGUAUGAAACCCAGAAUAUCAUCAUCACUUGCCUCUAGGGCCGGACAAGAUGGUUUCUCUGAGGUGACAGUUCAAGCUGAGAUUGGAACACGAUCAGAUCGACGAUCAUGGAGUACGGGUGAGUGGAUUCCAUGCCAUGUUUGUCGAAUAAGCAGUCUUUUUGCCGAUUAAUCUUUGCUUCUGUCUGUUCGACCUUGAGUACUUGUGGUUUUGCUAAGCUGGUUGGAGUCAUGCAUGAAAAAUGAAAAAAAAAAAAAAAAAAAACACCCUAAUUGAAAUUGCUUUUUGCACCAGUAUUUAAUUACCUGCCGGAAGCAAACCACAGUGCUUUUAAUUAGUUUCCUUGCCGAUGAAUUUCCCAUAAAUUUGAAGUGAUAGGAGUGAACCAGAAAAUCUAUUAUAGUAUAUAUGAUCAAUACCAUACGACUUUUCGUUAAUUAGGCCGGUCACUUUUCUCUCUCGCGCAAAAAGUAUUUGCUCUCUCUCUCUCUCUCUGCUUUCUGAGUUACUUAAUUAUGGUCAUCCUUGAUUAUGUACGGGCAUGAGCCUGACUUAAGAAUUCUUAUAUGCAAGUAUGGAGCUAGCUUGCGCUGUA